rnacentral:rRNA from 1 species
GACGAACGCUGGCGGCGUGCCUAAUACAUGCAAGUAGAACGCUGAAGGAGGAGCUUGCUCUUCUGGAUGAGUUGCGAACGGGUGAGUAACGCGUAGGUAACCUGCCUGGUAGCGGGGGAUAACUAUUGGAAACGAUAGCUAAUACCGCAUAAGAGUAGAUGUUGCAUGACAUUUGCUUAAAAGGUUCAAUUUCAUCACUACCAGAUGGACCUGCGUUUUAUUAGCUAGUUGGUGGGGUAACGGCUCACCAAGGCGACGAUACAUAGCCGACCUGGGAGGGUGAUCGGCCAAACUGGGACUGAGACACGGCCCAGACUCCUACGGGAGGCAGCAGUAGGGAAUCUUCGGAAAUGGACGGAAGUCUGACCGAGCAACGCCGCGUGAGUGAAGAAGGUUUUCGGAUCGGAAAGCUCUGUUGUAAGAGAAGAACGAGUGUGAGAGUGGAAAGUUCACAAUGUGACGGUAUCUUACCAGAAAGGGACGGCUAACUACGUG